rnacentral:rRNA from 1 species
GAUGAACGCUGGCGGCGUGCCUAAUACAUGCAAGUCGAGCGAACAGAUGAGGAGCUUGCUCCUCUGACGUUAGCGGCGGACGGGUGAGUAACACGUGGAUAACCUACCUAUAAGACUGGGAUAACUUCGGGAAACCGGAGCUAAUACCGGAUAAUAUAUUGAACCGCAUGGUUCAAUAGUGAAAGACGGUUUAGCUGUCACUUAUAGAUGGAUCCGCGCCGCAUUAGCUAGUUGGUAAGGUAACGGCUUACCAAGGCGACGAUGCGUAGCCGACCUGAGAGGGUGAUCGGCCACACUGGAACUGAGACACGGUCCAGACUCCUACGGGAGGCAGCAGUAGGGAAUCUUCCGCAAUGGGCGAAAGCCUGACGGAGCAACGCCGCGUGAGUGAUGAAGGUCUUCGGAUCGUAAAACUCUGUUAUUAGGGAAGAACAAAUGUGUAAGUAACUUUGCACGUCUUGACGGUACCUAAUCAGAAAGCCACGGCUAACUACGUG